rnacentral:misc_RNA from 1 species
AAGUCGUAACAAGGUUUCCGUAGGUGAACCUGCGGAAGGAUCAUUAUUGAAAUAAACCUGAUGGGUUGUUGCUGGUUCUCUAGGGAGCAUGUGCACACCUUGUCAUCUUUAUAUCUCCACCUGUGCACCUUUUGUAGACCUUUCAGGUCUAUGUUGCUUCAUUUACCCCAAUGUAUGUUAAUAGAAUGUUGUGCCCUGUAUAAUAUAUACAACUUUCAGCAACGGAUCUCUUGGCUCUC